rnacentral:ncRNA from 1 species
UGCUGCAUGGCUGUCGUCAGCUCGUGUCGUGAGAUGUUUGGUCAAGUCCUAUAACGAGCGAAACCCUCGUUUUGUGUUGCUGCGACAUGCGCCUAAGGAGAAAUAGCCGAGGAGAGGAGCCGAGUGACGUGCCAGCGCUAC